GUGAACGCUGGCGGUAGGCCUAACACAUGCAAGUCGAACGGCAGCACAGUAAGAGCUUGCUCUUACGGGUGGCGAGUGGCGGACGGGUGAGGAAUACAUCGGAAUCUACUUUUUCGUGGGGGAUAACGUAGGGAAACUUACGCUAAUACCGCAUACGACCUACGGGUGAAAGCAGGGGAUCUUCGGACCUUGCGCGAUUGAAUGAGCCGAUGUCGGAUUAGCUAGUUGGCGGGGUAAAGGCCCACCAAGGCGACGAUCCGUAGCUGGUCUGAGAGGAUGAUCAGCCACACUGGAACUGAGACACGGUCCAGACUCCUACGGGAGGCAGCAGUGGGGAAUAUUGGACAAUGGGCGCAAGCCUGAUCCAGCCAUACCGCGUGGGCGAAGAAGGCCUUCGGGUUGUAAAGCCCUUUUGUUGGGAAAGAAAAGCAGCAGGUUAAUACCCCGCUGUCCUGACGGUACCCAAAGAAUAAGCACCGGCUAACUUCGUG
rnacentral:rRNA from 1 species